rnacentral:lncRNA from 1 species
UGAGAGAGUAGUUCUGGGCAGCGGCGGCAGAGCAGUUAUGGGUGGAAGCGCAGAUCUUGGCUAUGGCGGAAGAGCAGUUCUGGGCGGCGGCGGCAGAGCAGUUGGGCGGCAAUGCAAGUCUGGGCGGCGGGAGGGGAUCAAGGCAGCGGAGGCGAUGCCCCUAGGAAACGCGACUGGAGGGGACCGUAGCUGGCCGGUGCCGGCCCCUGGCGAUGCUCGGGCAAUGAGCGGAGGAAGAAGACGGGGCGGAGGGGUCUGUUUGAGACAAUUUUCGGAUGACGAGGUUUUGUUUGCAAAUUUACCAAUGAACUGGGCGUACAACAUUAAUUUCGGGACGGAGGGAGUAUAUUUUGAGUGAAACGUAUAGUGGUAUAUGUAUAUCAAAACAAUAGUGCUUUCUUUCAAGUUUGUGAACAAGUACUAUUCUACUUUGGAUCCGUUGCAACGCACAGGCAAAUUGCUAGUCAUGUCUAAAACCUCAAAUUCAUACACAAGCAUGCACAUAGAUCAGCACACGCACUUUGGCUUUUAGGACAUAAUACAACUUACUACCUUGGUCCUGGUUUAUUAGUCCUCCUUAUAGUUUGUGUCAAAUUUUGAACUUUGAUUUAACUAUCAAAAAUUAAGUUAUAUACCCUAAUAAUAGUAUAAUUGGAAACCUCUUUCAAAUAUGCAUCUAGCAAUAUAAGUUUUGUGACAUACAACUUAUAAUUUGUUAGUCAAAUUUAUGUCAAAGUUGGGCAAAAAAUACAAAGGAGACUAAUAAAUCCGGACGAAGGUAGUACUAACAUUGCAUGUGGGAGUUCAUACACCAUGAGACAAUCAAAAUGAUGGCAUGUUCUCUAAAUUAAAUUAAUUUUAUAUGGAUAGGUCAAUUUCAUCAUCGACGGCAGCCCUUGCCCUUGCCCUUUGAGGGAGUCUGGGAUUAGGGGUCUCCGGACAGCCAGACUCUAUCCUUCGGCCGGACUAUUGGACUAUGAAGAUACUAAAUUGAAGACUUCGUCUCGUGUCCGGAUGGGACUCUACUUGGCGUGGAAGGCAAGUUAGGCAAUACGGAUAUGAAUAUUUCCUCCUUUGUAACCGACCUUGUGUAACCCUAACCCUCUCCGGUGUCUAUAUAAACCGGAGGGUUUAGUCCGUAGGACAACAACAAUCAUACCAUAGGCUAGCUUCUAGGGUUUAGCCUCUCCGAUCUCGUGGUAGAUCAACUCUUGUAAUACCCAUAUCAUCAAGAAUAAAUCAAGUAGGACGUAGGGUUUUACCUCCAUCAAGAGGGCCCGAACCUGGGUAAAACAUCAUGUCCCCUGCCUCCUGUUACCAUUCGCCUAGACGCACAGUUCGGGACCCCCUACCCGAGAUCCGCCGGUUUUGACACCGACAUUGGUGCUUUCAUUGAGAGUUCCUCUGUGUCGUCGCCGUUAGGCUUGAUGGCUCCUAUGAUCAUCGAUAGCGAUGCAGUCUAGGGUGAGACUUUUCUCCCCGGACAGAUCUUUGUGCUCGGCGGCUUCGCACUGUGGGCCAACUCGCUUGGCCAUCUGGAGCAGAUCAAAAGUUACGCCCCUGGCCACCAGGUCAGGUUUGGAAGCUUAAACUACACGGUCGAUAUUCGCAGAGACUUGAUCUUCGACGGAUUCGAGCCUCUGCCUUGUGCGUCACACGGUCACGAUGAGUACAAUUUAGCUCUACCAUCAGAUAGUGUUCAGGAGAUCGCACCGGCAGCCGCUCCGACCUUUAAUUCGGAGCCAAUUGCGCCGACCGAGGGCGGGUGGCUAGACCCCGCCGCGGAGGCUGUAGCCUCAACAACGAUCGAGCGGAACACCAACCUUAUCCUUCGCGAGGCCCGUGACUCCACAUUGCCGGACUCUCCUCCGAACUCUGAACCAUCCGCGCCCCUGCCAAUCGAAUCCGUUUGGGCGCCGAUCAUGGAGCUCACUGCCGCGGAUAUUUUUCAGUACUCGCCCUUCGACGACAUAUUGAAUUCACUAAGGUCUCUCUCUUUGUCAGGAGAGUCCUGGCCGGAUUAUGACCAGCAGGAUUGGGAUGCGGACGACGAAGAAAUUCGACGCCCACCCACCACCCACUUCAUAGCCACUGUUGAUGAUUUGACCGACAUGCUCGACUUCGACUCCGAAGACAUCGACGGUAUGGACGACGACGCAGGAGACGAACAGGAACCAGCGCCUAUAGGGCACUAGAAAGCCACCUUGUCAUACGAUAUAUACAUGGUGGACACACCCAAAGAAGGCAAUGGCGACGAGACAACGGAGGAUGACCCCUCCAAGAAGCAACCCAAGCGCCGACGUCAGCGGCGCCGCUCUAAGUCCCACCAAAGCAAAAGUAGUGAUACCGGCACAGGAGAUAAUAACACUCCGGAUAGUGCUGAAGAUGGCAACAAUCCCCUCCAGCACAAUCUAGGACAUGAGGAUGGAGAGGCCAGCCCUCCAGAGAGAGCGACAGAUGGAGAGGCGGAGGAUGAUAAUUACAUGCCCCCCUCCGAAGACGAGGCAAGCCUCGACGAUGACGAAUUCGUCGUGCCAGAGGAUCCCGUCGAACAAGAGCGCUUCAAGCGCCGGUUUAUAGCCACGACAAAUAGCCUUAAGAAAAAACAGCAGCAGCCUCAAGCUGAUCAAGAUCUGCUAGCUGACAGAUGGACUGAAGUCCUCGCGACCGAGGAAUAUAAACUCGAACGCCCCUCCAAGAGUUACCCAAAAUGCAGGUUGCUACCCCGACUGGAGGAAGAAGCAUAUGACGCGGCUGAUCGGCCACCUCGUGGCCGCGAUAGAGAGGCAUUCCAGCCAAAAGCUCAGCCUGCACCCCGACGCCAUUCAAAUAAAAAGGCAUGGGGAAAUACGCCAGACCUGCGAGACGUAUUGGAGGACAAAGCAAAACAUGCAAGAUCGAUCUAUGGAUCAGGAGGGCGCGCCACUAUGCGAGACGAUAAACAUCACACCGGAUACAGUAAAAGUAAAUCCGGCUGGGCCGAACAGAGCGGGCAAGACUCAUUGGAGCUGCGUCACGAUAUAGCCCAGUACAGAGGUGCCGCACACCCCUUAUGCUUCACAGAUGAAGUAAUGGAUCAUCAAAUCCCAGAGGGUUUCAAACCCGUAAACAUAGAAUCAUACGAUGACACGACAGAUCCUGCGGUAUGGAUCGAGGAUUUCCUCCUGCACAAUCCACAUGGCCAGCGGUGAUGACCUACACGCAAUCAAAUACCUCCCACUCAAACUUAAAGGACCAGCUCGGCAUUGGCUCAACAGCUUGCCAGCAGAGUCCAUUGGCUGUUGGGAAGAUCUGGAAGCCGCAUUCCUCGACAACUUCCAGGGCACCUAUUUGCGACCACCAGAUGCCGAUGACUUGAGCCACAUGAUUCAACAGCCAGAGGAAUCGGCCAGGCAAUUCUGGACACGGUUCCUAACUAAGAAAAAUCAAAUCAUCGACCGUCCGGAUGCAGAGGCCCUAGCAGCUUUUAAACACAACAUCCGCGACGAGUGGCUAGCCCGACACCUUGGUCAGGAAAAGUCAAAAUCUAUGGCAGCCCUCACGACACUCAUGACCCGCUUUUGUGCGGGAGAAAACAGCUGGCUGGCUCAUAGUAAUAACAUAUCAAAGAACCGUGGUACUUCGGAUACCAAGGACGGCAAUGGCAGGCCACGUCGCAACAAACAUAAGAGCCACAUUAACAGCGACAAUACCGAGGAUACGACAGUCAAUGCCGGAUUCAAAGGCUCUAAACCCGGUCAGCGGAAAAAGCCAUUUAAAAGAAGCUCCCCGGGCCCGUCUAGUUUGGACCGCAUACUCGAUCGCUCGUGUCAAAUACACGGCACCCCGAAAAGCCAGCCAACCACACCAAUAGGGAUUGUUGGGUAUUCAAGCAGGCCGGCAAGUUAAAUACCGAAAACAAAGAUAAGGGGCCACAUAGCGAUGACGAGGAAGAGCCCCAGCAACCGAACACCGGAGGACAAAAGAGGUUCCCCCCACAAGUGUGGACGGUGAACAUGAUAUACGCAACCCACAUCCCCAAGAGGGAGCGGAAGCGUGCGCUCAGGGAUGUAUAUGCGUUGGAGCCAGUCGCCCCAAAGUUCAACCCAUGGUCCUCCUGUCCGAUCAUCUUCGAUCGCAGGGACCACCCCACUAGUAUCCGUCAUGGCGGAUUCGCCGCACUGGUCCUAGACCCAAUCAUUGAUGGAUUUCACCUCACUCGAGUCCUUAUGGAUGGCGGCAGCAGCCUAAACCUGCUUUACCAGGACACAGUGCGCAAAAUGGGUAUAGACCCCUCAAGGAUCAAACCCAUAAAAAUGACCUUUAAAGGCGUCAUACCAGGUGUAGAGGCCCGUUGCACAGGCUCAGUCACACUGGAAGUGGUCUUCGGAUCCCCGGAUAACUUCCAAAGCGAAGAGUUAAUCUUCGAUAUAGUCCCGUUCCGCAGUGGUUAUCAUGCACUGCUCGGGCGAACUGCAUUUGCGAGAUUCAAUGUGGUACCGCAUUAUGCAUACCUCAAGCUCAAGAUGCCAGGACCUCAGGGGGUCAUUACAGUUAACGGAAACACAGAGCGCUCUCUCCGAACGGAGGAGCACACUGCAGCCCUCGCAGCGGAAGUGCAAAGCAGCCUCUUAAGGCAAUCCACUAGUUCGGCGUUUAAGGACCCAAACACCUUCAAGCACGCCUGGAGUAAUCAGCAACAGGACCACCUGGCACGUUCCGAGCUCGCAUAGCAAUGCGGCCCCCACCCCGGCCCAAGCCAAACGGCGAAAUUCGUGCCACGCGUACAUAAUUACGCAUUAAAAAUACCAUGGGCACAUGCGGGGAGGGGGGCAUGACUACGGCACGCCCCAAGACGCGGCUUAAACCGCAGUAGGGCUUCCUGUUUUAUUAUUUUCUUUUCAGGACUUUAAUCUCUGGAAACCUUGUCCGGCAGCAUGAUUGCCGAACACAUGAUGCAGCAACCAAGGAGGCAGAAAGCUACAUCAUACCACGGAACUCCCAGGUGGAUUAGGAUAAUGAGUGAAAUACUUGCUUUAAUAUUAUUCCUCAGCUUGCCCUUGGAGGGUACAUAGUCCUACUUUUUGCUUAUCGCACUACUUGUAUCAUUCUGCUCUAACGCACAUUUUUUACAAUGCAUUGCAUUAAGGCUUUUAUUGCAUUCUUCUUUAUAUAUAUAUAUAUAUAUAUAUGUUCAUUCGUGACAUCUAGCACCCGUACACUCUGGUACGGCCAAUACGCUAGGGGCUUAAGCAUACCUCACAAUACGGCGUGAGAAGUCCGAACACUUUCGACAGUGCGGCACCCCGAACUUAUAGCAUUAUAUGCAUCAGCUCCGAAUCAUGUCUUGGGUCAAUAGUUGGGUUUGCCUGGCUCCCAUGUUUUGGUUACGUUCCGCUAUAUCGGCUAAGGUAGCACUGGGAGAACUACUGCGAUUGUGCCCCGGUUCUGCUGGGCAAAGCACCUCAGUAGAGAAAGCUAAAACUGACUGUCAUGAUAAGGCGAGAGACUGGUCGCUGUUCGAGAGGUUUUCGAGUCCUUAAAGACUUAUGCUGCUUAGCGUGAGGAGCCGGCCCUGUCCGGCUUAAGGCGUCUAUCGCGCCCCAGAUUCGGCCUUCUGAAUACUAGGGGCUUUGCCAAAAUUUAAAAUUAUAGAAUUCUAUGGCUAAGUGAGAGUGAUAACGCAUUAUAGUUCGAUUGCCUUGUUCGUUGUGCUGAGCACCUCCCGUCGAAGGACCCAAAAAUGGGAACAAGAGUGCUGAGGUUUAUCCCGAACACCCCAGCACUCGUGGCAUGGGGGAAAAAGCCGACGACUAGCCAUCUCUCAGAUCUGAUAAACUGCGGAACAGAAGGUAAUAUUUUAAAUUCAAACAAGCGUUGCAUAGCGCAGAUGAACAAGUUUUCAUGAAUACAGGAUUACACGAGCGAGUUCACUCAAAUAUUAUAUCUUUCGUACACUCGACCGCUACAAGACGGGCACCCUUCAGGACACCCUCGUAGUACAUCUCGGGGUGGCGAUGCUCCUUGCCCUCCGGUGGCCCUUCCUUGAUCAGCUUCACGGCGUCCAGCUUGGCCCAUUGUACCUUCACACGGGCGAAAGCCCAGCGUGCACAUUCGAUGCAAACGGACCGCUUGAUAACUUUCAGCCAUGGGCAGACAUCCACAAGCCGCCUCACCAAGCCGAAGUAGCUGUUGGGAAGGGCGUCGCCAGGCCACAUCCGGACUAUCAAGCCCUUCAUGGCCUGUUCGGCCGCCUUGUGUAGCUCGACCAGCUGCUUUAGCUGGUCGCUCAUAGGUACUGGGUGUUCGGUCCCAGUAUACUGGGCCCAGAACAACUUCUCCGUCGAGCUUCCCUCCUCGACCCAGUAAAAUUUUGCGGCAUCCGACACGCUGCGGGGCAAAUCUGCGGAUGCUCCUGGAGAGCUCCGGAUUUGGGUAAGUAACAAGUAAUUUACUUUCACAUGCUUACUUUGCAUAUAGAAUGCCUUACCCGCCGCUAUCUUCUUCAUCGCAUCAAUCUCCUGGAGGGCCUUUUGGGCUUCGGCCUUGGCACUCUUUGCACCCUCAAGGGCCGUGGCAAGCUCGGACUCUCGCGUCUUCAAGUCAAGCUCCAGCGCCUCGUGCUUCGUCACGAGAGCGUGGAGCUCUUUCUGCACCUCGCCCACCCGUGCCUCAUGCCUCUCCCGCUCGGUGCGCUCCUUGGACGCUUUGUUUUUGGCCUCGGACAACGCUUGCUUCAGGGUCUCCACCUCGGUCGUGGCCCCUGGCAAAUUUAUGAUAAUCCUGUCAUUUUGCAAUCCCUUUCCUUUUAUAUAGAUCCAUAGACUAGGUACUACUUACCUUUGUUAUCCUCGAGCUGCCUCUUGGCAAGGCCGGGCUCUUCCUUGGACCCUUUAAGGUCCUGCUUCAGUGCGGCGACCUCCGCAGUCAGUGCGGCAGAGGCCAGCAGCGAAGCCUGCAUACGCAUAUAGACAUACUUAUAUUAAACUCCUGUGAUAUUGUUUGAUCCUCUGUUCGGCUUUUCUUUGUGAACACCAAACAGAGCAUCAGGGGCUACUGUCUAUGCGGUAAUAUUUCUUCUAUAUUUCAAAAACUUACCUCAAAGCCUGUUAGAAGGCUGGCACAGGCUUCAGUCAAUCCGCUCUUGGCGGACUGAACCUUCUGGACCAUCGCACUCAUAAUAGUGCGGUGCUCUUCGUCUAUGGAAGUGCUGCGAAGCGCUCCCAGUAGAUUGUCCGGUGCCUCUGGAUGGGCAGAGGUCACCGGCACAGGCGUCUUGCCCCUCUUGGAAGGAGGCCGCCUGUCCGAGUCCGGAACCACUGGAGGUUCCGGCACGGUGUUCGGCUGAGGGCCGAACUCGGAGCCCUCGGGGGCUUUGCUCCCCCUGCUCCCGGAGUCCGGAAGGUCGCUUUGAGGCGCCUCCGGGACUGUCUCCCCUCGACCCAGUGCCUCUUGAGACAACACCUCGGCGUUGUCCGUAGGGCAAGGGGAGGUGGCGGUCGGAAGUGGAUCACUAUCCAUAUCCGACGAGCCCAGGGAGCCGUUCGACGAGGAUACGUCGAUACGGGUUCGGGGCGGUCUGCACAAUCAUAAUUCGGCGUUUCUAUGAGUUACUCUGGUAUCCGAAUACUUACGACUUCGCCAGGGGCUUGGCCCUAAGCAGCCACUCGUCUUCGCCUUCAGCGGCGGUGGUGGAGUAGUCCAGAAGGAGAGUCCUUCCCUUCUUCGACCCUUCUCCCCCCCAGUAGGGGCGGCCUUACUUUUCUUGUCUCCCCGACUGGAGGGGGAACAUCUUCAUCUUCCUCCUUGUCUUCGGGGGAGGAGUGCGUCACGGAUUUAUCGGACGAUGAGUCCGAUAACACCUGGCGUCGGGAGCUCUUUCGGGUUCCCUUGGCCUUCUUGGUCUUCUCCGGCACCUUGUAAGGAGCCGGAGUCAGCAUCUCCGUCAGGAGCGCGUUCGCAGUGUCUUCGGGCAGAGGGGCCGGACAAUUAAUCUGCCCCGACGUCUCCACCCAGUUCUAUCAAAGGCAUGGAGAUCAGACCCCACACAUGGUUAAGCUAGGGGAAAUAAAUGUCCUACCGGAUGUAUAGAACUCACCGAAUGCGCUUGGCGCUUCGCGCUUAGCCCGCGGUCCUCGGUGAGGGAGGGAGGGACCUCAGCGCCCUUGAACAACACCUUCCAGACGUCCUUGUGCGUCGUGUCGAAGAGCUCGCUCAGAGUCUGGUGCUGGGUCGGGUCGAACUCCACCAAGUUGAAGUCCCGUUGUUGGCACGGGAGGAUCCGGCGGAUGAGCAUGACCUGGACUAUAUUGACAAGCUUGAGCUUCUUGCCGGCCAUAUUUCGGAUACAUUUCUGGAGUCUGUCCAGCUCUACCGAUGAACCCCAGGACAUGCCCUUCUCUUUCCAGGAGGUGAGCCGCUUGGGGAUUCCGGAUCGAAACUUGGGGGAAGCCACCCAUUUCGCGUCGCGCGGCUCGGUGAUGUAGAACCACGCCGAUUGCCACCCCUUUGUGGUCUCCACGAAGGAGCCCUCAAGCCAUGUGACAUUGGGCAUCUUGCCCACCAUGGCUCCGCCGCAUUCUGCUUGUUGGCCUACCACCACCUUCGGCUUGAUGUUAAAGGUCUUCAGCCACAGGCCGAAGUGGGGCCGGACACGGAGGAAAGCCUCACAGACGACGAUGAACACCGAAAUGUUGAGGAUGAAGUUCGGGGCCAGAUCAUGAAAGUCCAGCCCGUAGUAGAACAUGAGACCACGGACGAAUGGAUGAAGGGGAAAACCCAGUCCAUGGAGGAAGUGGUGGAGGAAAACUACCCUCUCAUGAGGUUCCGGGGUAGGAACGUUCUGCCCCGCAGCGGGCAGCCAAUGCGCGAUAUUCGCGGCUAAGUAUCCGGCGCCGCGCAGCUUUUUGAUGUGCCCCUCCGUAACGAAGGAAGCCAUCCAUUUUCCCCCCGCUCCGGACAUGUUUGGAGAAGGUUGAGGGGAAGGAUGUGGACUUGGGCGUUGGAGCUCGAGUGCAAAAGAGUGGAUGAGCAAGGAGGAAGAAGGCAUGGGUAGAAAAAGGUUAAACCCUGUCCCUUUAUAAGGGCGGCCGAAACUAUAUAUGCGCCCCCACUAGCCUGGUAAAACUCGCUUAUCCCCCAAGCGCCGUAAUUGAUGGCGCGAUCGGGUUACCCACGCCCGUAUUGAUGAGAAUCCCGUAAUAAGGGGGACACGAUCUCUACUUUGACGAGACGUGUCAAAAAACUGCCUCGUGUUAUGUGCGGGGCUAGUUAAAGGAAACUGUUCGAAUAAUCACUGGGCCAUGGCUUAAUGUCAUGUUGCCAAAACGUGUCAGCAGAUUAGAUUUGUGGAAAUAUUAUUCUCUCUGCGGAGAUAUGUGGAACUUGUUUUGCAGGGUCGAACACUAUCCUUUAUUUGAACUCUUCUGUGGUAUAUCCGGAGGAGGAACCCGCCUUGCAAUGCCGAAGACAACACUGCGCGCCAGACUCAUCGUCAUUGAAGCCUGGUUCAGGGGCUACUGAGGGAGUCCGGGAUUAGGGGUCUCCGGACAGCCAGACUUUAUCCUUCGGCCGGACUAUUGGACCAUGAAGAUACUAAAUUGAAGACUUCGUCUCGUGUCCGGAUGGGACUCUACUUGGGUGGAAGGCAAGCUAGGCAAUACGGAUAUGGAUAUUUCCUCCUUUGUAACCGACCUUGUGUAAUCCUAACCCUCUCCGGUGUCUAUAUAAACCGGAGGGUUUAGUCCGUAGGACAACAACAAUCAUAGCAUAGGCUAGCUUCUAGGGUUUAGCCUCUCCGAUCUCGUGGUAGAUCAACUCUUGUAAUACCCAUAUCAUCAAGAAUAAAUCAAGAAGGACGUUGGGUUUUACCUCCAUCAAGAGGGCCCGAACCUGGGUAAACAUCAUGUCCCCUGCCUCCUGUUACCAUCCGCCUAGACGCACAGUUCGGGACCCCCUACCCGAGAUCCGCCGGUUUUGACACUGACACCCUUGUUCUCAUGGUCGCAGAAGCAGCGAUAGAAGACACAAUAUGGAUCGAGGCGGAUCUUCCUGCGCCGGAGUUGGAUUUUUCAUAGAUGGCACAUGAUAAGUUCAGAGCCUCCUCUUCAAGGGCAGGGAGCAUGGCAAGGGAACAGAUGAUUCGAGUUUGCUCCACCAUGAGGUCACUGGCGGGUCAGGAUUGCUGCUUCGCCAGGGUCCAAGCACGGGCAUUCUUGCCGCCAACCGUCAUUGCGUGGCACUGGCAUGACACACCUUCUCCCUUGGCCACCGACGUCGAAUUAAGCAAACAAUCUCAUCUACUAGAAUUUGAGCCUCCCCUGUUUGCGGUUUUUGAUGAAAAAACAUCACUUUUAAUAUAAGCCGGGGAGCUUCUUCCUCUUCCCAUGUUAUUUUCCAUCACACGAUUCAUUGAUGAUUCUAUGUGUGUUGGUAUUCCUGUGUUUUUAUGGCAAAAAAUUCCACAUCAAUUCAGUUGAAAGAAGAUACCAGAGUCUCUUGUAUUUGUGCGACAACCAGUGAUGCCUUGUGUCCUACUCAUCACUGAACAAACAAGAUAAAACCAUCGAGUCCCUAUCGGCUUUGCUAACUGGUCAAGAGUUUACCCUCCUUUUUAAAAACAAAAAAAACUUCGCUACCUUCUUCGCGACCCUAGAAGAUGCCUGACCAAGGGGGCGGGGAAUAUCAGGGUGCUAGGUGCUAUAUAUGCUAUUUUCUUGAGCUCCCCUCAAUUUUUCAACAUAACUCUGGCCAUUAAUUUGGUUAACAAUGAAUUACAUGCCUUGAUCAGGUGUAUAUAAUUUAUAUCUUGUAGAUGAUCAAAGUUAUGUUCAAAAUUUGGUGUGAUCUUUAUAUAGUACACUUUGCGUAGCGACUAGGAUAGUAACACGUAAUUCAGACGUGGAUAGGCAGUGUGCGGGCGUCUGAUGAAGUGUCCGAGCAUACGCUCUAUAUUAGGAAACCUAUGUGCCACAUCAUCCUACUCUGUCAAAAAGGAAAGUACAUGAGUCUCCAACCUCACGCUGCCUCAGUCAAAAACCCAUGUGCAUUUAUUUUCAGGUUUCAAAAAAAGCUAUAACUUUUGAUUUAGUGUCAGAAUCAAGAUCCAUUUUCACCGUUGGGUUUCUCGUGAUGAGCUCUUCAAAAAAUAGAUCCCAUAUGAGUAGGUUUCGACAAAGUUUAUUUUAGAGAAACUUCGGGUGCUAUAUAGGCAACUUUAAUGCUAUAGGAGAGCAACUCUUUUGUAUUGCCUACUACCUCCGCCAGGAUUUAAUAGGCCCCCUACCAUGGCAUUACUCUACCACUAAGUUAAAAAGGCUUUUUAUUUAAUUCAACAAUUAGCCACUUCGAUUUCCCAUUAUGGGUCUAUUUGCAUAAUAUACAUAUAAUAUAUACUAUAUAGAUAUAGAGAGAGAGAUUAUGUAGAGAUUGCAUAUGUAUAUAUCGAUAUCUUGAGAGCUGAAAAUAAAAUUAAUAAAAAAACAUAACCCUAUAUAACAUAUCCAACUCUUCUUGGUUCAGGGUUUUUUGUUUCCGAAGACCAGAAAAAUAGGCGGAUUCUGGAACCCCAAGGAUUCAAUGGUAUAUGGUAGUAUUUUGAACCAAACUUUAACCAUCCAUAUUGUUGGGGAACGUAGCAUGCAAUUUCAAAAAAAAUCCUACAAUCUCGCAAGAUCUAUCUAGGAGAUGCAUAGCAACGAGAGGAGGAGAGUGUGUCCACAUACCCUCGUAGACCGAAAGCGGAAGCAUUAUGUUAACGCGGUUGAUGUAGUCGAACGUCUUCACGAUCCAACCGAUCCAAGUACCGAACGUAUGGCACCUCUGUGUUCAGCACACGUUCAACUCGAUGACGUCCCUCGAGCUCUUGAUCCAGUAGAGGGUCGAGGGAGAGUUUCAUCAGCACGAUGGAGUGGUGACGGUGAUGGUGAUGUGAUCCUCGCAGGGCUUCGCCUAAGCACUACGACGCUAUGACCGGAGGAGUAAACUGUGGAGGGGGCACCACACAUGGCUAAGAAACAAUUGUUGUGUCUUUGGGGUGCCCCCUGACCACAUAUAUAAAGGAGGGGGGGAGGAGGAGGUUGGACCAAGGGGGGCGCGCCAAGAGGGGGGAGUCCUACUAGGACUCCGUUCCUAAUAGGAUUCGGCCCCCUUUCCUUCCAACCGAGAGGGGUGAAGGGGAAAGGUGGGAGAAGGAGAAGGAAAGAGGGGGCCCGCGCCCCUCCCCUUGUCCAAUUCAGAUUGGGCAAGGGGGGCACCUCCCGUGGCCUGCCUCCUCUCCUCCACUAUGGCCCAUUAGGACCAUUAACUUUCCCGGGGGGUUCCGGUAGCCUCCCGGUACUCUAAAAAAUCCCCAAACCUUAUCGGAACCAUUCCGGUGUCCGUAUAUAACCUUCCAAUAUAUAAAUCUUUACCUCUCGGCCAUUUCGAGACUCCUCGUCAUGUCCCUGAUCUCAUCCGGGACUCCGAACAAACUUCGGUCACCAAAACACAUAACUCAUAAUACAAAUCAUCAUCGAACGAUAAGCGUGCGGACCCUACGGGUUCGAGAACUAUGUAUACAUGACCGAGACAUAUCUCUGGUCAAUAAUCAAUAGUGGAACCUGGAUGCUCGUAUUGGCUCCUACAUAUUCUACGAAGAUCUUUAUUAGUCAAACCGCAUAACAACAUACGUUAUUCCCUUUGUCAUUGGUAUGUUACUUGCCCGAGAUUCGAUCGUCGGUAUCAUCAUACCUAGUUCAAUCUCGUUACCGGAAAUUCUCUUUACUUGUUCCGUAAUGCACCAUCCCGCAAUUAACUCACUAGUCACAUUGCUUGCAAGGCUUAUAGUGAUGUGCAUUACCGAGAGGGCCCAGAGAUACCUCUCCAAUACACGGAGUGACAAAUCCCAAUCUUGACCUAUGCCAACUCAACAAACACCUUCAGAUACACCUGUAGAGCAUCUUUAUAAUCACCCAAUUAUGUUGUGACAUUUGAUAGCACACAAGGUGUUCCUCCGGUAUUCGGGAGUUGCAUAAUCUCAUAGUCAGAGGAAUAUGUAUAAGUCAUGAAGAAAGCAAUAAUAAUAAAACUAAACGAUCAUAAUGCUAAGCUAACGGAUGGGUCUUGUCCAUCACAUCAUUGAUGUGAUCCUGUUUAUCAAAUGACAACACAUAUCUAUGGUCAGGAAACAUAACCAUCUUUGAUUAACGAGCUAGUCAAGUAGAGGCAUACUAGGGACACUCUGUUUGUCUAUGUAUUCACACAUGUACUAAGUUUCCGGUUAAUACAAUUUUAGCAUGAAUAAUAAACAUUUAUCAUGAUAUAUGGAAAUAUAAAUAACAACUUUAUUAUUGCUUCUAGGGCAUAUUUCCUUCAGUCUCCCACUUGCACUAGAGUCAAUAAUCUAGAUUACAUUAUAAUGAUUCUAACACCCAGGGAGUCUUGGUGCUGAUCAUGUUUUGCUCGUGAGAGAGGCUUAGUCAACGGGUCUGCUGUCUGCAACAUUCAGAUCCGUAUGUAUCUUGCAAAUCUCUAUGUCUCCUUCCUUGACUUGAUUGCUGAUACGUCUCCGUCGUAUCUACUUUUGGCCCUUGUUUUGGACUCUAACUUGUAUGAUUUGAAUGGAACUAACCCGGACUGACGCUGUUUUUAGCAGAAUUACCAUGGUGUUGUUUUAUGUGCAGAAAACAAAUAUUCUCGGAAUGACCUGAAACUCCACGGAACAUCUUAGAAAAAACAAUAAAAAAUCCUCGCCAAAGAUGAAGACCGGGGGCCCACACCCUUCUCACGAGGGUGGGGGGCGCGCCCCCUACCUCGUGGGCCCCCUGUUGUGUCUCCGACUCCAACUCCACCUCCAUAUAUUGAGUUUCAAUGAGAAAAAAAAUCAGAGAGAAGAAAUCAUUGCGUUUUACGAUACAGAGCCGCCGCCAAGCCCUAAAACCUCUCGGGAGGGCUAAUCUGGAGUCCGCUCGGGGCUCCGGAGAGGGGGAUUCAUCGCCGUCGUCAUCAUCAACCAUCCUCCAUCUCCAAUUUCAUGAUGCUCAUCGCUGUGCGUGAGUAAUUCCAUCGUAGGCUUGCUAGACGAUGAUGGGUUGGAUGAGAUUUAUCAUGUAAUCGAGUUAGUUUUGUUAGGGUUUGAUCCCUAGUAUCCAUUAUGUUCUGAGAUUGAUGUUGCUAUGACUUUGCUAUGCUUAAUGCUUGUCACUAGGGCCCGAGUGCCAUGAUUUCAGAUCUGAACCUAUUAUGUUUUCAUGAAUAUAUGUGAGUUCUUGAUCCUAUCUUGCAAGUCUAUAGUCACCUACUAUGUGUUAUGAUCCGGCAACCCCGAAGUGACAAUAAUCGGGACCACUCCCGGUGAUGACCAUAGUUUGAGGAGUUCAUGUAUUCACUAUGUGCUAAUGCUUUGUUCUAGUUCUCUAUUAAAAGGAGGCCUUAAUAUCCCUUAGUUUCUAAUAGGACCCCACUGCCACGGGAGGGUAGGACAAAAGAUGUCAUGCAAGUUCUUUUCCAUAAGCACGUAUGACUAUAUACGGAAUACAUGCCUACAUUACAUUGAUGAAUUGGAGCUAGUUCUGUGUCGCCCUAUGUUAUGACUGUUACAUGAUGAACCACAUCCGGCAUAAUUAUCCAUCACUAAUCCGUUGCCUACAAGUCUUCCAUAUACUGGUUCACGCUUAUUUACUUUCCCGCUGCUACUAUUACAAUCACUACAAAAUACCAAAAACAUUACUUUUGCUGUCUUUACUUUUGUUGCUGCUACCACCACUAUCAUAUUACUUUACUACUAAACACUCUGCCGCAGAUACUAAGUUUCCAGGUGUGGUUGAAUUGACAACUCAGCUGCUAAUACUUGAGAAUAUUCUUUGGCUCCCCUUGUGUCGAAUCAAUAAAUUUGGAUUGAAUACUCUACCCUCAAAAGCUGUUGCGAUCCCCUAUACUUGUGGGUUAUCAAGACUAAUUUCUGGUGCCGUUGCCGGGGAGCAUAGCUAUGUUCUUUGAGUCACUUGGGAUUUAUCUCUGCUAGACACUAUGAAGAACUUGAGAGAUCCAAAAACCAAGAUCUAUCCCUCAACUACGAGGGGAGGUAAGGAACUGCCAUCUAGCUCUGCACUUGAUUCACCUUCUGUUAUGAGUAAGUUUGCGACACCUACAUCUGCUUCUGCUAUUCGUUCUGAUAUGUCGCAUGUUAUUGAUGAUGCCACUUCUGCUAUGCAUGAUACUUAUGAUGAAACUGCUUCUGUGCCUGAUACUACUAUGCCCCUUAGUGAAUUUCUUGAUGAACAAAUUGCUAGGGCUAGAGAAAAAGAAAUUAUUGAAUAUGAAUACGAUGAUGAUAGUGAUGAUGAAAAUAUGCCUGUUAUUCCUGAGGGUUAUCUUUUUGAUAUGGAAUCUUCUGCCGCUAUUUUUGCUUGCAAAGAUAGAUAUGAGCUUAAGAGGUUAUUAGUUAAAUGGAACAAAGAAUCACUUAGAGAUAGAAUGAAACCCUACCCUGCUUUUGCUACUUCACCUAUAUGUGUUCCUGAUAAAGAUUAUGAAUUCUCUGUUGAUCCUGAUAUAAUUACUUUGGUUGAAUCUGAUCCGUUUUAUGGCUAUGAAUCUGAAACUGUUGUGGCACAUCUUACUAAGUUAAAUGAUAUAGCUGCCCUGUUUACUAAUGAUGAGAGAUCAUGUUACUUUUAUAUACUCAAAAUAUCUCUGUUCUCAUUAAAGGGGGAUGCUAAGAUAUGGUUUAAUUCUCUUGAUCCUGGUUGUGUGCGUAGUCCCCAGGAUAUGAUUUAUUACUUCUCUGCUAAAUAUUUCCCUGCUCAUAAGAAACAAGCUGCUUUGAGGGAAAUAUACAACUUCGUGCAAAUUAAAGAAGAGAGUCUCCCACAAGCUUGGGGGAGGCUUCUCAAGUUACUAAAUGCUUUUCUUGAUCAUCCUCUUAAGAAACAUGAAAUACUUGAUAUCUUUUAUAAUGGACUAACCGAUGCUUCCAGAGAUUACCUGGAUAGCUGUGCUGGUUCUCUUUUCAGGGAAAGAACACCAGAUGAAGCUGAAAUUCUAUUGAAUAAUAUGUUGACAAAUGAAAAUAAUUGGGCACCUCCUGAGCAAGCUCCUGAGCCAUCUCCUACUCCAAUUACUGAGCCUAUUCCUAAACCAACUCCGAAAAAGAGAGGUGUUCUAUUUCUCAGUCCCGAAGAUAUGCAAGAGGCAAAGAAAUCUAUGAAAGAAAAAGGUAUUAAAGCUGAAGACGUUAAGAAUUUACCUCCUAUUGAAGAAAUACAUGGUCUUAAUAUACCGCCUGUUGAAGAAACAUAUGAUCUUAAUUAUUUAUUUACUGAAGAACCUCCUGAUCCCGAUAUCCCGACACAGGUAGUAAAGGUAAAUUCUCUCUAUAGAUAUGAUAAAGCUGAAAUUCCUCCUACUAAAAUUGCUAGUCAGUGCUUGGAUGAGUUUGAUAACUUUAUGUAUAAGCAAGACGACUUCAAUGCUUAUUUUGGUAGACAAUUAAAAUAAAAUGCUUAUAUGAUUAGACGCUUGGGUGAUUAUAUGGCUAAUAUUAAAGGUGAGCUUAAACUUGUUAGCAAACAUGCUUCUAUGGUUACCACUCAAGUAGAACAAGUACUUAAGGCUAAAAAAGAAGUGCUUGAUGAAAUGAAUAGUAAGAAAAAUGAUUAUGCUGUUAGAGUGGCUACUAGAACUGGUAGAAUGACUCAGGAACCUUUGUAUCCUGAAGGCCACCCUAAGAGAAUCGAGCAAGAUUCUUAAAGAAAUAAUAUUGAUGUUCCUAGUUCUUCUAAAAAGAAGAAGAAGAAAAAUGAUAGAACUGUGCAAACUUCUAGUGAACCUAUUGCUGAACCACCUGAUAAUCCAAAUGAUAUUUCUAUGUCUGAUGCUGAAACACAAUCUGGUAAUGAACAUGAACCUAGUAAAAAUAUUAAUGAUGAUGUUCAUGAUGAUGCUCAACCUAGUAAUGAUAAUGAUGUAGAAAUUGAACCUGCUGUUGAUCUUGAUAACCCACAAUCAAAGAAUCAACGUUAUGAUAAAAGAGACUUUGUUGCUAGGAAACAUGGUAAAGAAAGGGAACCUUGGGUUCAGAAACCCAUGCCUUUUCCUCCGAAACCAUCCAAGAAAAAGGAUGACGAGGAUUUUGAGCGCUUUGCUGAAAUGAUUAGGCCUAUCUUUUUGCAUAUGAGAUUAACUGAUUUGCUCAAAACAAAUCCUUAUGCCAAAUAUAUGAAGGAUAUCAUUACUAAUAAAAGAAAGAUACCGGAAGCUGAAAUUUCCACCAUGCUUGCUAAUUACACUUUUAAGGGUGGAAUACCAAAGAAACUUGGAGACCCCGGAGUACCUACUAUACCAUUAAAAGAAAUUAUAUUAAAACUGCUUUAUGUGAUCUUGGAGCCGGUGUUAGUGUUAUGCCUCUCUCUUUAUAUCGUAGACUUGACUUGUAUAAGCUGACACCUACUGAAAUAUCUUUGCAAAUGGCUGAUAAAUCAACUACUAUACCUGUUGGUAUCUGUGAGGAUGUGCCUGUUGUAGUUGCAAACGUUACUAUUUUAACAGACUUUGUUAUACUUGAUAUUCCCGAGGAUGAUAGUAUGUCUAUUAUUCUUGGAAGUCCUUUUUCUUAAUACUGUAGGGGCUGUUAUUGAUUGCAACAAAGGCAAUGUCACUUUUCAUGUUAAUGGUAAUGAGCAUACGGUACACUUUCCGAGGAAACAACCUCAAGUUCAUAGUAUCAAUUCUAUUGGGAAAAUCCUAUUGAUUAUAUUUGGAGGUUUUGAAUUUCCUCUCCCUACUGCCAAGAAGAAAUAUGAUAUACUUAUUAUUGGGGAUGUGCAUAUCCCGGUUGAGGUAACCUAGUGUUAUUCGAAAUUUCCCCGGUUUCAUGUUAAUCGGAAUGAGUUUGUUAACAAGACUUGAUCAACCUUGUUAGUGGAUUCCUUUUGACGAGCAUGAGAUGGAUGAAACUAGAAGCACAACCUUCUGUACCCUCUCUAUACUUUCUAUUAUUUAGUUUAAAUAAAAUAAAAAUAAAUAAUUUUCUGUCUGUUAUCUGAUAUCCAUGCAAUAUAAAAAUACCUCGAAAAUAAAAAUCCUCAGAAUGACAUGCCAAUUUAAUAUGAUUUUUUGGGAAUAUUUGAGGAUUUACUGUGCAAAAAUUACUGCGGGAGGAGCUGCCACCUGGCCACGAGGGUGGUGGGCCCCCCCUAUAGGGCGCGCCCCCUGCCUCGUGGGCCCACGGUGGCCCUCCUCCACUUACCUCAGCACCCAUCUUCUUCCUCUGUCUCACACAAACCCUAAAAACCAACUCAAGCACGAGUUCCAACCACUUUUGCUGCGAUUUUCGAUCUCCUUGCUCAAAGCGCCUCUCUCAAAACUGCUUGGGGAGAUUGUUCCUUGGUAUGUGACUCCUCCAUUGGUCCAAUUAGUUUUUGUUCUAGUGCUUUAUUCUUUGCAAAUUUGUGCUGCAUAGGUGACCAUGUUCUUGAACUUGCAUGUCAAAUUUAUAUGGUUCCAAGUAGUUCUAAUGCUUGCUAUGGGCUCUAGGCACUUGUAGGAGUAGUUGCUAUCAAUAUUAUUGAGUUUGGUUUACUUUUAUUUUGAAGUUACUAAAAAUUUCAGAAUUUUUCAGAGAAAAACAAUAUGUUUAGGAAGAUGUUCCAAGGUGGUUCCUCUAAGAAGCAAGGACCCAGGAUUGCUAUGCGCGAUGCUGACGAGAAUCCACCAAGAGACGCUCCAGUACGACCUUGCGAAUGACCGUCGGAAAAUUUUAUGGACCGUGUGGGAAUUAAAGAAGAAUUCAAAGCAUAUUUGCGCAAUGCCGGUCUUGUGGAUUUUGAGGCUAAUAAAUGCCCCCAGUGUCAUGAUCUCACAAGUUCAUUAGUGAGGAGGUUUGAGUAUUCAUCUUCGCGUAAUUCCCCUUCAGUCAUGUUUGAUCUUUAUGACAAAUCUUAUACAAUGGACCUAGAGGAUUUCACUUUUGCUUGUGAACUUCCAUCAUGGGGCAGUAUUAGGGAUCCCCCUAAAUCUGAAUUUAGAAACUUUCUUGCUACUAUAACUAUGGGGGAAUCCAGAGAUAUAACGCAGGCUACCAUAGGGAGCAUUCACUUUCCUGCUAUACAUUAUUUUGCUCUUUUUAUCGGUAGAUGCAUAAAUGCUAAGGAUGAAGCAUGUCACAUGUGUGUCCCUGAUCUCAGCAUUCUUAGGAGUGCUGUGUUAGGAGACCAAUCUUAUCAUAUGGGAGCCAUUGUAGCUCGUAGGUUGCAUCAUAAUAGACAUAAUAGGGAUUUCUUUGGAGGAAUUUAUGCAACCCGCUUAGCUCAUUUUCUUGAAAUAGACAUUCGUGAGGGUGAUAUGGAGUUGCCUCCUGCAUAUUUAGAUUAUGACUCUAUGGCUUCGCACCAGUUUGUCGAGAGGCCUGAAUCACCUCUCUUAUAUCGGUUAAUUUUUGAUAAAUGACGUGUUUUCCGUAUUACUCUCCCUACUCCUGCCUUCUUUGAUUCACAGACAAAAGGAAGAUAUGUUAUCACCAGAGAGGAGGCAGAAGAGUACGAGAGGAGAGCGGAGGCAGCCCAACUCCACGCUGUAGCUCAGUAGGCGAUAACCGAUGCACAUCAGUAUGAUCCCAAAUAUCCUUCCUCAUCACAGUACGACCCCAACAACUAUUAUUAUGGAUAUCCGCCAGACCAGCCGUGGCCAUAGACCAACUUAGGCCAAAAGCCUAAGCUUGGGGGAGUACGUAUUUCUCACCGACAUUACAUUUAUGUUCACACACACUCAUUGCUAGAUGUCAGUGCUCAUACUUUUUCACUGUAAUAUCCAUGCUAGUUUAUUUUCCUUUUCCUGCUUUUUCUUGUGUGUUUGUUAAACCUUAAGAAAAACAAAAAAAAUAGUAGUAGUUUAUUUUUCUGCUGUAGUAGUAUUAAUUAAAAAGAAAACCCAAAAAUAUUUCCCGUUCAUCUUUUGCUUGUUGGGAGCUUUCCCGUGUAAAUAGUUUUAUUUCUUUUCUUUUCUUUGGGGGUCAGUAGGAGAAGACCAUAGUUAAAUUGUUGAAGUGGCUCUUAUAUGCAUUAUUGUUGAUUUAACCUAGAGCCCAUAUUGCCUUGUCUUCUCCUGUUUAUUGAAUGCUCACAGAUUCCAGCUUAGUCCAAUGCACGUGCACUCUUAUUAUUAUUCACACCGUUCGGUCAUGCAAGUGAAAGGCAAUUAUGAUGAUAUAUGAUGGACUGACUGAGAUGAGAAAAACUGGUAUGAACUCGACCUCUUUUGUUUUUGUAAAUAUGAUGAGUCCCUCGUUCUGGAUUCAGCUUAUUAUGAAUAAACAUGUUUGCAAUGACAAUUAGAGAUCAUAGUUGCUUGUGCCAUGCUUGAUUAGCUAUGAGUUAUAAUGAUUUACCUUGUAUGCCAACAUGCUAUUGAGAUGAUUAUGAUGUGGUAUGAUGGGGUGGUAUCCUCUUUUGAAUGAUUUAAGUGACUUGACUUGGCACAUGUUCACGCAUGUAGUUGAAACAAAAUCAACAUAGCCUUCACGAUAUUUAUGUUCAUGGUGGAUUAUAUCCUACUCAUGCUUGCAUCCAAUGUUUAUUAAUUUUAAUGCAUGUACAUGGCUGUUGUCGCUCUCUAGUUGGUCGCUUCCCAGUCUUUUGCUAGCCUUCACUUGUACUAAGCGGGAAACUGCUUGUGCAUCCAAUCCCUUAAACCCAAAAUUUAUUCCAGAUGAGUCCACCAUACCUUCCUAUAUGCGGUAUCUACCUGCCGUUCCAAGUAAAUUUGUAUGUGCCAAACUCUAAACCUUCAAAUAAACAUUCUAUUUUGUAUGCUCGAAUAACUCAUGUAUCAACAAAGGCUGUCCUUAUCUUCCGUGUUAGGCGGGUUAUUCUCAAGAGGAGUGGACUCCGCUCCUCACUCACGAGAAAAUGGCUGGUCACUAGGAUGCCCAGUCCCAUGCUUUAUGCAAACUAAGUUAAAAUUAAUUGCAAACAAAACUCCCCCUGGGACCUGCUGUAUGUUGGAGGCACUUGUUGUUUCGAGCAAGCCAUGGAUUGAUGCUUGUUGGUGGAGGGGGAGUAUAAACUUUACCAUUCUGUUUGGGAACCGCCUAUAAUGUGUUUAGCAUGGAAGAUAUCGCCAUCUCUUAGUUGUUACGUUGACAAUGAAAGUAUACCACUCAAAAUACAAUUUACCUCUAUUUCAAAACUGAGCUCUGGCACCUCUACAAAUCCCUGCUUCCCUCUGCGAAGGGCCUAUCCAUUUACUUUUAUGAUGAGUCAUCACCCUCUUAUUAAAAAGCACUAGCUGGAGAGCACAACCGUCAUUUGCAUUCAUCACCGUUAAUUUAUAUUGGGUAUGACUAUGAUUGGAUCUCUUUUACCAUGAAUUACAAUGUCUAGUCAGUCCUUGAUCUUUAAAGGUGCUCUGCAUUUAUGUUUUGCGGUCUCAGAAAGGGCUAGUGAGAUACCAUCUUGUUAUAUCAUAUUAUGAUUGUUUUGAGAAAGUGUUGUCAUCCGAGAUUUAUUAUUAUGACUUGCUAGUUGAUUAUGCUAUUGAUAUGAGUAAUGAUGAGACCUGAGAAUUAUUGCAAAUGUGGUUAGUUAUGAUCUACGCUGAUAACUUGAAUGCUGGCUUGACAUAGUUACAACAACAAGAGCAAAUAGAGUUUGUAAAAGCUUUUCUUUCUUUCUUUCAAUUUGUCAACUGAAUUGCUUGAGGACAAGCAAGGGUUUAAGCUUGGGGGAGUUGAUACGUCUCCGUCGUAUCUACUUUUCCAAACACUUUUGCCCUUGUUUUGGACUCUAACUUGUAUGAUUUGAAUGGAACUAACCCGGACUGACGCUGUUUUCAGCAGAAUUACCAUGGUGUUGUUUUAUGUGCAGAAAACAAAUAUUCUCGGAAUGACCUGAAACUCCACGGAACAUCUUAGAGAAAACAAUAAAAAAUCCUCGCCAAAGAUGAAGACCGGGGGGCCCACACCCUUCUCACGAGGGUGGGGGGCGCCCCCCUAGGGUGCGCCCCUACCUCGUUGGCCCCCUAUUGUGUCUCCGACUCCAACUCCACCUCCAUAUAUUGAGUUUCGAUGAGAAAAAAAAAUCAGAGAGAAGAAAUCAUCGCGUUUUACGAUACGGAGCCGCUGCCAAGCCCUAAACCUCUCGGGAGGGCUGAUUUGGAGUCCGUUCUGGGCUCCGGAGAGGGGGAUUCGUCGCCGUCGUCAUCAUCAACCAUCCUCCAUCACCAAUUUCAUGAUGCUCGCCGCCGUGCGUGAGUAAUUCCAUCGUAGGCUUGCUGGACGGUGAUGGGUUGGAUGAGAUUUAUCAUGUAAUCGAGUUAGUUUUGUUAGGGUUUGAUCCCUAGUAUCGAUUAUGUUCUGAGAUAUAUGUUGCUAUGACUUUGCUAUGCUUAAUGCUUGUCACUAGGGCCCGAGUGCCAUGAUUUCAGAUAUGAACCUAUUAUGUUUUCAUGAAUAUAUGUGAGUUCUUGAUCCUAUCUUGCAAGUCUAUAGUCACCUACUAUGUGUUAUGAUCCGGCAACCCCGAAGUGACAAUAAUCGGGACCACUCCCGGUGAUGACCAUAGUUUGAGGAGUUCAUGUAUUCACUAUGUGCUAAUGCUUUGUUCCGGUUCUCUAUUAAAAGGAGGCCUUAAUAUCCCUUAGUUUCCAAUAGGACCCCGCUGCCACGGGAGGGUAGGACAAAAGAUGUCAUGCAAGUUCUUUUCCAUAAGCACGUAUGACUAUAUACGGAAUACAUGCCUACAUUACAUUGAUGAAUUGGAGCUAGUUCUGUGUCGCCCUAUGUUAUGACUAUUACAUGAUGAACCGCAUCCGGCAUAAUUAUCCAUCACUAAUCCGUUGCCUACAAGUUUUCCAUAUACUGGUUCACGCUUAUUUACUUUCCUGCUGCUACUGUUACUAUCACUACAAAAUACCAAAAACAUUACUUUUGCUGUCUUUACUUUUGUUGCUGCUACCACCACUAUCAUAUUACUUUGCUACUAAACACUCUGCUGCAGAUACUAAGUUUCCAGGUGUGGUUGAAUUGACAACUCAGCUGCUAAUACUUGAGAAUAUUCUUUGGCUCCCCUUGUGUCGAAUCAAUAAAUUUGGGUUGAAUACUCUACCCUCGAAAGCUAUUGCGAUCCCCUAUAAUUGUGGGUUAUCAAUCACGGAUGGAAUUGAAGCGUCUCUUGAUGUGUUUGGUUGUCUUGUGAAAUCUGGAUUCCUUCGCCAAGGCAAUUGCUCCAGUAUUGUCACAAAAGAUUUUCAUUGGACCUGAUGCACUAGGUAUUACACCUAGAUCGGAUAUGAACUCCUUCAUCCAGACUCCGUUUGCUGCUUCUGAAGCAGCUAUGUACUUCACUUCACACGUAGAUCCCGCCACGAUGCCCUGCUUGGAACUGCACCAACUGACAGCUCCACCAUUCGAUAUAAAUAUGUAUCCGGUUUGUGACUUAGAGUCAUCUGGAUCAGUGUCAAAGCUCGCAUCGACGUAACCAUUUACGACAAGCUCUUUGUUGCCUCCAUAAACAAGAAACAUAUCCUUAGUCAUUUUCAGGUAUUUUAGAAUGUUCUUGACCCCUGUCCAGUGAUCCGCUCCUGGAUUACUUUGGUACCUCCCUACUAAAAUUAUAGCAAGGCACACAUCAGGUCGACUACACAACAUUGCAUACAUGAUAGAACCUAUGGCCGAGGCAUAGGGAAUGACUUCCAUUUUCUUUCCGUCUUCUACAGUGGUCAGGCAUUGAGUCCAAUAUAUAAGCAGCUUGUAAGAACCCUUUCUUUGACUGAUCCAUUUUGAAUUUCUUCAAAACUUUAUCAAGGUAUGUGCUUUGUGAAAGUCCAAUUAAGCGUCUUGAUCUAUCUCUAUAGAUGUUGAUGCCCAAUAUAUAAGAAGCUUCACCAAGGUCUUUCAUUGAAAAAUUCUUAUUCAAGUAUCCUUUUAUGCUAUCCAGAAAUUCUGUAUUAUUUCCAAUCAACAAUAUGUCAUCCACAUAUAAUAUUAGAAAUGCUACAGAGCUCCCACUCACUUGCUUGUAAAUAAAGGCUUCUCCAAAAGUUUGUAUAAAACCAUAUGCUUUGAUCACACUAUCAAAGCGUAUAUUCCAACUCUGAGAGGCUUGCACCAGUCCAUAAAUGGAUCGCUGGAGCUUGCACACUUUGUUAGGACCUUUAGGAUCGACAAAACCUUCUAAUUGCAUCAUAUACAACUCUUCUUUAAGAUAUCCAUUAAGGAAUGCAGGUUUGACAUCCAUUUGCCAAAUUUCAUAAGCAUAAAAUGCGACAAUUGCUAACAUGAUUCGGACAGACUUAAGCAUCGCUACGGGUGAGAAGGUCUCAUCGUAGUUAACUCCUUGAACUUGUCGAGAACCUUUUGCAACAAGUCAAGCUUUGUAGAUAGUAACAUUACCGCCAACGUCAGUCUUCCUCUUGAAAAUCCAUUAAUUCUCUAUGGCUUGCCGAUCAUCGGGCAAGUCAACCAAAGUCCACACUUUGUUCUCAUACAUGGAUCCCAUCUCAGAUUUCAUGGCCUCAAGCCAUUUUGUGGAAUCUAGGCUCAUCGUCACUUCCUCAUAGUUCGUAGGUUCGUCAUGAUCAAGUAACAUGACCUGCAGAACACGAUUAUCGUACCACUGUAGUGCGGAGCCUACUCUGGUUGACCUACGAGGUUCCGUAGUAACUUGAUCUGAAGUUUCAUGAUCAUCAUCAUUAGCUUCCUCACUAAUUGGUGUAGGAAUCACUGGAACUGAUUUCUGUGAUGAACUACUUUCCAAUUCGGAGAAGGUACAAUUACCUCAUCAAGUUCUACUUUCCUCCCACUCACUUCUUUUGAAAGAAACUCCUUCUCUAGAAAGGAUCCAUUCUUAGAAACGAAUAUCUUGCCUUCAGAUAUGUGAUAUAAGGUGUAUCCAACAGUCUCCUUUGGGUAUCCUAUGAAGACACAUUUCUCCGAUUUGGGUUCGAGCUUAUCAGAUUGAAGCUUUUUCACAUAAGCAUCGCAACCCCAAACUUUAAGAAAUGACAGCUUUGGUUUCUUGCCAAAUUAGAGUUCAUAUUGUGUUGUCUCAACGGAUUUAGAUGGUGCCCUAUUUAACAUGAAUGCAGCCGUCUCUAAAACAUAACCCCAAAACGAUAACGGUAAAUCGGUAAAGAGACAUCGUAGAUCACACCAUAUCUAAUAAAGUACGGUUAUGAUAAUUCGGACACACCAUUACGCCGUGGUGUUCCAGGUGGCGUGAGUUGCGAAACUAUUCCACAUUGUUUCAAAUGAAGACCAAACUCAUAACUAAUAUUCUCCUCCAUGAUCGGAUCAUAGAAACUUUAUUUUAUUGUUACGAUGAUUUUCCACUUCACGCUGAAAUGCUUUGAACUUUUAAAAUGUUUCAGGCUUAUGUUUCAUUAAGUAGAUAUACCCAUAUCUGCUCAAAUCAUCUGUGAAGGUUAGAAAAUAAUGAUACCCGCCGCGAGCCUCAACACUCAUCGGACUGCAUACAUCAAUGUGUAUUAUUUCCAAUAAGUCAGUUGCUCGCUCCAUUGUUCCGAAGAACGGAGUCUUAGUCAUCUUGCCCAUGAGGCAUGGUUCGCAAGCAUCAAGUGAUUCAAAAUCAAGUGAUUCCAAAAGCCCAUUAGCAUGGAGUUUCUUCAUGCACUUUACACUAAUAUGACCUAAACGACAGUGCCACAAAUAAGUUGCACUAUCAUUAUCAACUUUGCAUCUUUUGGCUUCAAUAUUAUGAACAUGUGUAUCACUACAAUCGAGAUUCAACAAAAAUAGACCACUCAUCAAGGGUGCAUGACCAUAAAAUAUAUUACCCAUAUAAGUAGAACAACUAUUAUUCUCUGAUUUAGAUGAGUAACCGUCUCACAUCAAACAAGAUCCAGAUAUAAUGUUCAUGCUCAAUGCUGGCACCAAAUAACAAUUAUUUAGGUCUAAAACUAAUCCCGACGGUAGAUGUAGAGGUAGUGUGCCGACAGAGAUCACAUCAACUUUGGAACCAUUUCCCACGCGCAUCAUCACCUCGUCCUUAGACAGUCUUCAUUUAAUCCGUAGCCCCUGUUUCAAGUUGCAAAUAUGAGCAACAAAACCAGUAUCAAAUACCCAGGCGCUACUACGAGCAUUAGUAAGGUACACAUCAAUAACAUGUAUAUCAAAUAUACCUUUCACUUUGCCAUCCUUCUUAUCCGCCAAAUACUUGGUGUAGUUCCGCUUCCAGUGACCAGUCCCUUUGUAGUAGAAGCACUCAGUUUCAGGCUUAGGUCCAGACUUGGGCUUCUUCCCAUGAGAAGCAACUUGCUUGCUAUUCUUCUUGAAGUUCGCCGUCUUCCCUUUGCCCUUUUUCUUGAAACUAGUGGUCUUGUUAACCAUCAAUACUUGAUGCUCCUUCUUAAUUUCUACCUCCGCAGCCUUUAGCAUCGCAAGAGCUCGGGAAUUGUCUUUUCCAUCCCUUGCAUAUUAUAGUUCAUGACAAAGCCUUUAUAGCUUGGUAGCAGUGAUUGAAGAACUCUAUCAAUGACAUUAUCAUCAGGAAUAUUAAUUCCCAGCUGAGUCAAGUGGUUAUGGUACCCAGACAUUCUGAGUAUGUGUUCAUUGACAGAACUAUUCUCCUCCAUAUUGUAGCUAUAUAACUUGUUGGAGACUUCAUAUCUCUCAAUCGGGCAUUUUCUUGAAAUAUUAACUUCAACUCCUGGAACAUCUCAUAUGCUCCAUGACGUUCAAAACGUCUUUGAAGUCCCAAUUCUAAGCCGUAAAGGAUGGCACACUGAACUAUCGAGUAGUCAUCAGCUUUGCUCUGUGAGACGUUCAUAACGUCUAGAGUUGCUCUUGCAACGAGUCUUGCACCUAGCGGUGCUUCUAGGACGUAAUUCUUCUAUGCAGCAAUGAGGAUAAUCCUCAAGUUACGGACCCAGUUCGUGUAGUUGCUACCAUCAUCUUUCAACUUAGCUUUCUCUAGGAACACAUUAAAAUCCGAGGGAACAGGAGCACGGGCAAUUGAUCUACAACAACAUAGAUAUGCAAAAACUAUAAGGUACUAAGUUUAUGAUAAAUUAAUGUUUAAUUAAUCAUAUUGCUAAAGAACUCCCACUUAGAUAGACAUCCCUCUAGUCAUCUAAAUGAUCACGUGAUCCAUAUCAACUAAACCAUGUUCGAUCAUCACGUGAGAUGGAGUAGUUUUCAAUGGUGAACAUCACUAUGUUGAUCAUAUCUACUAUAUGAUUCACAUUCGAACUUUCGGUCUCAAUGUUCAGAGGCCAUAUCUGCAUAUUCCAGGCUCGUCAAGUUUAACCCGAGUAUUCUGCACGUGCAAAAUUGGCUUGUACCCGUUGUAUGUGAAGGUAGAGCUUAUCACACCCGGUCAUCACAUGGUGUCUCAGCACAACGAACUGUAGCAACGGUGCAUACUCAGGGAGAACACUUGUACCUUGAAAUUUAGUGAGGGAUCAUAUUAUAAUGCUAUCGCCGUACUAAGCAAAAUAAGAUGCAUAAAGGAUAAACAUCACAUGCAAUCAAAAUAUGUGACAUGAUAUGGCCAUCAUCAUCUUGUGCCUUUGAUCUCCAUAUCCAAAGUACCGUCAUGAUCUCCAUUGUCACCGGCUUGACACCUUGAUCUCCAUCAUAGCGUCGUUGUCGUCUCGCCAACUAUUGCUUCUACGACUAUCGCUACCUCUUAGUGAUAAAGUAAAGCAAUUACAUGGCGAUUGCAUUUCAUACAAUAAAGCGACAACCAUAAGGCUCCUGUCAGUUGUCGAUAACUUUUAUGAAACAUGAUCAUCUCAUACAACAAUUUAUAUCUCAUCUCGUCUUGACCAUAUCAUAUCACAACAUGCCCUGCAAAAACAAGUUAGACGUCCUCUACUUUGUUGUUGCAAGUUUUACGUGGUUGCUACAGGCUUCUAGCAAGAACCGUUCUUACCUAUGCAUCAAAACCACAACUAUUUUUCGUCAAGAGUGUUGUUUUAACCUUCAACAAGGACCGGCCGUAGUCAAACUCGAUUCAACUAAAGUUGGAGAAACAGACACCCACUAGCCAGCUGUGUGCAAAGCACGUCGGUAGAACCAGUCUCAUGAACAUGGUCAUGUAAUGUCGGUCUGGGCCGCUUCAUCCAACAAUAUCGCCGAAUCAAAGUAAGACGUUGAUACGUCUCCGUCGUAUCUAUAAUUUUCGAUUGUUCCAUGCCAAUAUUCUACAACUUCCAUAUACUUUUUGGCAACUUUUUAUACUAUUUUUGGGACUAACAUAUUGAUCCAGUGCCUAGUGCCAGUUCCUGACUGUUGCAUGUUUUGUUUCGCAGAAUAUCCAUAUCAAACGGAGUCCAUACGGGAUAAAAAUGGACAGAGAUACUUUCUGGAAUAUUUGGAAAAUCUGGAGGAAAAAUCAACGCGAACCAGUGUCCGAGGUGGGCACGAGGUAGGCCCCCCCUAGGGCGCGCCCCUGACCCUCGUGACCCACCUGUAAGGCGGUUGACGCCCUUCUUCAGCCGCAAGGAAGCUAAUUUUCGGAAAAAAUCACGGCGAAGGUUUCGUUCCAAUCGGAGUUACAGAUCUCCGGAUAUAAAAGAAACGGUGAAAGGGCAGCAGAACAGACGCAGAAACAGAGAGAGAUAGAGAGACAGAUCCAAUCUCGGAGGGGCUCUUGCCCCUCCCACGCCAUGGAGGCCAAGGACCAGAGGGGAAACCCUUCUCCCAUCUAGGGAGGAGGUCAAGGAAGAAGAAGAAGAAGGGGGCCCCUCUCCCCUUGCUUCCGGUGGCGCCGGAGUGCCACCGGGGGCCAUCAUCAUCACCGUCAUCUUCACCAACUACUUCACCGCCAUCAUCACCAACUCUUCCCCCCUCUAUGCAGCGGUGUAAUCUCUCUCUUACCCGCUGUAAUCUCUACUUAAACAUGGUGCUCAACGCUAUAUAUUAUUUCCCUAUGAUGUAUGGCUAUCCUAUGAUGUUUGAGUAGAUCCAUUUUGUCCUAAUGGCUAUUUGAUGAUCAAGAUUGGUUUGAGUUGCAUGUUCUAUUAUUGGUGCUGUCCUACGGUGCUCUCCGUGUCACGCAAGCGUGAGGGAUCCCCGCUAUAGGGUUUGCCAUAUGUUCAUGAUUUGCUUAUGGUGGAUGGCGUGAGUCACAGAAGCACAGACCCGAGUAAGUAGGUUGUUUGCGUAUGGGAUAAAUGGGACUUGAUGCUUUAAUGCUAUGGUUGGGUUUUACCUUAAUGAAUCUUUAGUAGUUGCGGAUGCUUGCUAGAGUUCCAAUCAGAAGUGCAUAUGAUCCAAGUAGAGAAAGUAUGUUAGCUUAUGCCUCUCCCUCAUAUAAAAUUGUAAUAAUGAUUACCUGUCUAGUUAUUGAUUGCCUAGGGACAAAUAACUUUAUCGUAACAACAAACUCUCUACUAAACCUAACUUAGUUGUGUCUUUAUCUAAACAGCCCCUACUAUUUAUUUACUUGCUCUUUAUUAUCUUGCAUACCUAUCCAACAACACCUACAAAGUACUUCUAGUUUCAUACUUGUUCUAGGUAAAGCGAACAUCAAGCGUGCGUAGAGUUGUAUCAGUGGUCGAUAGAACUUGAGGGAAUAUUUGUUCUGUCUUUAGCUCCUCGUUGGGUUCGACACUCUUACUUAUCGAAAGAGGAUACAAUUGAUUCCCUAUACUUGUGGGUUAUCAAGACCUUUUUCUGGCACCGUUGCCGGGGAGCAACAGCGUGGGGUGAAUAUUCUCGUGUGUGCUUGUUUGCUUUAUCACUAAGUAAUUUUAAUUUACUGUUCUUAGUUGUUCUCUAUCUUUAGUUAUGGAUAUGGAACACGAAAUACCAAAAAAUGGGUGUACUUUCUGCUCAUGGAGAUGGGGAACCUCCUAAAACCCUCGAUGCUGGUUAUGUGAAAGAUAUUAUGUACUACUUUAAUAAUCCUGAGAAAACCCCAUUUAAUUAUGUAAUGGGAGUAACGUUGGAUCAACGUACUUUAGGGAUUAUCGCUUGACACAAAAAGGGAAACUACUAUGGGAUCAAAUUCAUAUAUUGAAGUGGUAUGCUUGGCAAUUAUGCAUGAGUUAUGAUUAUACUUGUUGUUCUAGGAUGAAGGCUCCACACUUUCCCUUUUCAUGCAAAUUCAAUGAUAACAAAACCUUAGCUUCUUAUGCUAAUGGUAUAUAUGAUUACUAUGAUGUGGAACAAAUAGAAGAAUUUGUUGCUUUUAUGGGUGCUUAUGAAAUUGAAUCUGUGUAAAGAGUUUGAAGAUUUUGAUGAUGCUGUUUAUAGAUCUGAAAAUUUAGCUAUCCUCAAAUAUUGCUAUGAGAAUUAUGAAUACAAUUCCGAAAUUAAUGCACUUAUUGAGAAAGUCUCCGAUGUCCAAGAAGAGACUAAUAUUUUGCAGGAGUCUAUGGAAGAAGAAAUUGAUGAAACUGUGAGCUAAUUGGAUGAAAAAGAUGAGGAAAAGAGCGAAGAACAAAAGGAGGAAGAGCGGAUUGAUCACCCGUGCCCACCUUCUAAUGAGAGUAACUCUUUAACUCAUACAUUGUUUAAUUCCCCUUCGUGCUUACCGAAGGAUGAUUGCUAUGAUGACUGUUAUGAUCUCUUGGAUUCUUUUGAAAUAUCCCUUUUUGAUGAUGCUUGUGGCCAAGAUGCCAAUAUGAAUUAUGCUGAUGGAGAUGAACUUGCUAUAGUUCCUUAUGUUAAAUAUGAAAUUGUUGCUAUUGCACCCACGCAUGAUAGUCCUGUUAUCUUUUUGAAUUCUCCAAACUACACUAUAUCAGAGAAGUUUGCCCUUAUUAAGGAUUAUAUUGAUGGGUCGCCUUCUACUACUACACAUGAUGAUUUUGAUAGAUAUAAUAUGCAUGUGCUUGCUUCUCCUAAUUGCAAUUAUUAUGAGAGAGGAACCAUAUCUCCACCUCUCUAUGUUUCCAAUAUGAUAAAAUUGCAAGAAACUAUUUAUACUAUGCAUUGGCCUUUACUAUGUGUGCAUGAAUUGUUCUUUUAUGACAUGCCGAUGCAUAGGAAGAAAGUUAGACUUUGUUGUUACAUGAUAUAUGUUACUUUGUGCUCACUACUAAAUGCUAAAUCAUUGUUAAUUAAAAUUUGGUUUGAUAUACCUUGGGAUCCGGGUGGAUUCAUUACUUGAGCACUAUAUGCCUAGCUUAAUGGCUUUAAAGAAAGCGCUGCCAGGGAGACAAGCCGGAAGUUUUAAAGAGUCAUUUAUUUCUGUUGUGUGGUUUUAUAAAGUUUAGAAAUAAAAAUAAUGUGCCAAGGUUUGCCUUUAGGAUGUUUACAUUUGCUUGAUGGUUUGUACGGUGCAGGACAGAAACUUUGGCUGUAGUGCGCGAUUUUAUAUUUUUUUCUGGAACGUCAAAUGGUUCUGAUUCUUUUUGCACUGUCUUACUAUACAAAUUGUUUAUUUUUCCUAAUUUUGGCAGAAUUUUUGAAGUAUCAUAAGUAUGGUGAAUGUUCACAUUAUUACAGACUGUUCUGUUUUAGACAGAUUCUGUUUUUGAUGCAUAGUUUGCUUGUUUUGAUGAAACUAUCAAUCUAUAUUAGUGGAUUAAGCCACGAAAAAGUUAUAUUACAGUAGACACAAUGGAAAACAAAUAUGAAUUGGUUUGCAACAGUACUUAGAGUAGUGAUUUGCUUUAUUAUACUAACGGAUCUUACUGAGUUUUCUGUUGAAGUUUUGUGUGGAUGAAGUGUUUGAUGAUUGAGAAGGUUUCGAUGUGAGAAGAAGGAAGAGAGGCAAGAGCUCAAGAUUGGGGAUGCCCGAGGCACCCCAAGUAAAUAUUCAAGGAGACUCAAGCGUCUAAGCUUGGGGAUGCUGGGAAGGCAUCCCCUCUUUCUUCAACAAGUAUCGGUAUGUUUUCGGAUUCGUUUCGUUCAUGCGAUAUGUGCAAUCUUGGAGCGUCUUUUGCAUUUAGUUUUCAUUUUUCUUUUAUGCACCAUGCUGGUAUGAGAUAGUCCUUUGUUGAUUUAUAGAAUGCUCUUUGAACUUCACUUGUAUCUUUUGAGUAUGGCUUUAUAGAAUGCUUCAUGUGCUUCACUUAUAUCAUUUGAAGUUUGGAUUGCCUGUUUCUCUUUACAUAGACAACCGCCAUUUGUAGAAUGCUCUUUUGCUUCACUUAUAUUUAUAUCUUUUUUAGAAAUAAUUAAACUCUCUUGCUUCACUUAUAUCUAUUUAGAGAGAUGACAUGAAUUGGUCAUUCACAUGGUUAGUCAUAAAAUCCUACAUAAAACUUGUAGAUCACUGAAUAUGAUAUGUUUGAUUCCUUGCAAUAGUUUUGCGAUAUAAAGAUAGUGAUAUUAGAGUCAUGCUAGUGGGUGGUUGUGAAUUGUAGAAAUACUUGUGUUGAGGUUUGUGAUUCCCGUAGCAUGCACGUAUGGUGAACCGUUAUGUAACGAAGUUGGAGCAUGAGGUAUUUAUUGAUUGUCUUCCUUAUGAGUGGCGGUCGGGGACGAGCGAUGGUCUUUUCCUACCAAUCUAUCCCCCUAGGAGCAUGCGCGUAGUACUUUGUUUCGAUGACUAAUAGAUUUUUGCAAUAAUUAUGUGAGUUCUUUAUGACUAAUGUUGAGUCCAUGGAUUAUACACACUCUCACCCUUCCACCAUUGCUAGCCUCUCUAGUACCGCGCAACUUUCACCGGUACCAUAAACCCACCAUAUACCUUCCUCAAAACAGCCACCAUACCUACCUACCAUGGCAUUUCCAUAGCCAUUCCGAGAUUUAUUGCCAAGCAACUUCCAUCAUCAUCAUAUACAUGACUUGAGCAUUCAUUGUCAUAUUGCUUUGCAUGAUUGUAAGAUAGCUAGCAUGAUGUUUUCAUGGCUUGUCUGUUUUUUGAUGUCAUUGCUACGCUAGAUCAUUGCACAUCCCGGUACACCGCCGGAGGCAUUCAUAUAGAGUUAUAUCUUUGUUCUAUAUAUCGAGUUGUAAGUAAAUAAAAGUGUGAUGAUCAUCAUUAUUAGAACAUUGUCCCAUGUGAGGUUAUCAAAAUAAAAGUGGCCAAAGAAGCCCCUCAAAAAAAGAGAGAGAGGCCAAAGAAGCCUACAAAAAAAGAAAAAAAGAAAAAAAGAGAAAAAGAGAGAAGGGGCAAUGUUACUAUCCUUUUUACCACACUUGUGCUUCAAAGUAGCACCAUGUUCUUCAUAUAGAGAGUCUCUUGAUUUAUCACUUUCAUAUACUAGUGGGAAUUUUCAUUAUAGAACUUGGCUUGUAUAUUCCAACGACGGGCUUCCUCAAAUGCCCUAGGUCUUCAUGAGCAAGCAAGUUGGAUGCACACCCACUUAGUUUCAGUUAGAGCUUUCAUAUACUUAUAGCUCUAGUGCAUCCAUUGCAUGGCAAUCCCUACUCACUCACAUUGAUAUCUAUUGAUGGGCAUCUCCAUAGCCCAUUGAUACGCCUAGUUGAUGUGAGACUAUCUUCUCCUUUUUGUCUUCUCCACAACCUCCAUUCUAUUCCACCUAUAGUGCUAUGUCCAUGGCUCACGCUCAUGUAUUGCGUGAAAGUUGAAAAGAUUUGAGAACGUAAAAAGUAUGAAACAAUUGCUUGGCUUGUCAUCGGGGUUGUGCAUGAUGUGAGUAUUUUGUGUGAAGAAGAUGGAGCAUAGCUAGACUAUAUGAUUUUUUAGGGAUAACUUUCUUUGGCCUUGUUAUUUUUAAAAGACAUGAUUGCUUUAUUAGUAGGAUUGAAGUAUUAUUGUUUUUAUGUCAAAUGAUAGACUAUUGCUUUGAAUCAGUCGUGUCUUAAUAUUCAUGCCAUGAUUAGACAUAUGAUCAAGAUUAUGCUAGGUAGCAUUCCACAUCAAAAAUUAUCUUUUUUUAUCAUUUACCUACUCGAGGACGAGCAGGAAUUAAGCUUGGGGAUGCUGAUACGUCUUUGCUAUAUCUAUAAUUUUUGAUUGUUCCAUGCCAAUAUUCUACAACUUCCAUAUACUUUUUGGCAACUUUUUAUACUAUUCUUGGGACUAACAUAUUGAUCCAGUGCCCAGUGCCAGUUCCUGUCUGUUGCAUGUUUUUUGUUUCGCAGAAUAUCCAUAUCAAACGGAGUCCAAACGGGAUAAAAACGAACAAAGAUACUUUUCAGAAUAUUUGGAAAAUCUAGAGGAAAAAUCAAUGCGAACCAGUGCCCGAGGUGGGCACGAGGUAGGGGGGCGCCCCCGACCCUCGUGACCCACCUGUAAGGCGGUUGACGCCCUUCUUCGGCCGCAAGAAAGCUAAAUUUCAGAAAAAAUCACGACGAAGGUUUCGUUCCAAUCGGAGUUACGGAUCUCCGGAUAUAAAAGAAAAAGUUAAAGGGCAGCAGAACAGAAUGCAGAAACAGAGAGAGACAGAGAGACAGAUCCAAUCUCGGAGGAGCUCUCGCCCCUCCCAUGCCAUGGAGGCCAAGGACCAGAGGGGAAACCCUUCUCCCAUCUAGGGAGGAGGUCAAGGAAGAAGAAGAAGAAGGGGGGCCCUCUCCCCUUGCUUCCGGUUGCGUCGGAGUGCCACUGGGGGCCAUCAUCAUCACCGUCAUCUUCACCAACAACUUCACCGCCAUCAUCACCAACUCUUCCCCCCUCUAUGAAGCCAUGUAAUCUCUCUCUUACCCGCUGUAAUCUCUACUUAAACAUGGUGCUCAACGCUGUAUAUUAUUUCCCUAUGAUGUAUGGCUAUCCUAUGAUGUUUGAGUAGAUACGUUUUGUCCUAAUGGCUAUUUGAUGAUCAAGAUUGGUUUGAGUUGCAUGUUUUAUUAUUGGUGCUGUCCUAUGGUUCUCUCCGUGUCGCGCAAGCGUGAGGGAUCCCCGCUGUAGGGUUUGCAAUAUGUUCAUGAUUUGCUUAUGGUGGGUGGCGUGAGUGACAGAAGCACAGACCCGAGUAAGUAGGUUGUUUGCGUAUGGGAUAAAGGGGACUUGAUGCUUUAAUGCUAUGGUUGGGUUUUACCUUAAUGAAUCUUUAGUAGUUGCGGAUGCUUGCUAGAGUUCCAAUCAUAAGUGCAUAUGAUCGAAUUAGAGAAAGUAUGUUAGCUUAUGCCUCUCCCUCAUAUAAAAUUGUAAUAAUGAUUACCGGUCUAGUUAUCGAUUGCCUAGGGACAAAUAACUUUCUCGUAACAACAAACUCUCUACUAAACCUAACUUACUUGUGUCUUUAUCUAAACAGCCCCUACUUUUUAUUUACUUGCUCUUUAUUAUCUUGCAUACCUAUCCAACAACACAUACAAAGUACUUCUAGUUUCAUACUUGUUCUAGGUAAAGCGAACAUCAAGCGUGCGUAGAGUUGUAUCGAUGGUCGAUAGAACUUGAGGGAAUAUUUGUUCUGCCUUUAGCUCCUCGUUGGGUUCGACACUCUUACUUAUCGAAAGAGGAUACAAUUGAUUCCCUAUACUUGUGGGUUAUCAAGACCUUUUUCUGGCGCCGUUGCCGGGGAGCAAUAGCGUGGGGUGAAUAUUCUCGUGUGUGCUUGUUUGCUUUAUCACUAAGUAAUUUUAAUUUACUGUUUUUAGUUGUUCUCUAUCUUUAGUUAUGGAUAUGGAACAUGAAAUACCAAAAAAAAA